GACGAACGCUGGCGGCGUGCUUAACACAUGCAAGUCGAACGAGGCCCCUCCUUCGGGAGGGUGUCCUAGUGGCGAACGGGUGAGUAACACGUGGGCAACCUGCCCCCGGCUCUGGGAUAACCCCAAGAAAUUGGGGCUAAUACCGGAUAUGACCGCUGACCGCAUGGUCUGGUGGUGGAAAGGUUUUUUCGGCUGGGGAUGGGCCCGCGGCCUAUCAGCUUGUUGGUGGGGUAGUGGCCUACCAAGGCGACGACGGGUAGCCGGCCUGCGAGGGUGACCGGCCACACUGGGACUGAGACACGGCCCAGACUCCUACGGGAGGCAGCAGUGGGGAAUAUUGCGCAAUGGGCGGAAGCCUGACGCAGCGACGCCGCGUGGGGGAUGACGGCCUUCGGGUUGUAAACCUCUUUCAGCAGGGACGAAGCGAAAGUGACGGUACCUGCAGAAGAAGCACCGGCCAACUACGUGCCAGCAGCCGCGGUAA
rnacentral:rRNA from 1 species